AUUCCUUUGUGACGAUAUUCCCUUAAACCAAAAUGGCGGGGAAUAUCUGAUGCGCAAU
rfam:Trichinella spiralis unplaced genomic scaffold Scfld4, whole genome shotgun sequence.